AGCAACCGUUAGUGGUGCUGCUCAGCCAUUGGACAGCACAGCAGUGGGACCGCCCAGAAGCAACCAACUAUCAAGCAGCAAGAGUUAGAUGGUCAGACAAUGGUGGAGUAGUAGUCGGGAGGUGGAGAGUGAGAGAUUUACAGGAACAUCGUUACCUGACCAUGAUCCAACUUCAAGAACAAAAGAUCUGACACCAGGACGUUUGCAACAACUCACCACGUCCCUCCCUUACCUUUUGGUCUUAAAAGGGGUUUGAUGAAAGCUUUCAGUAACUUUGGGGUCCAUAGGGAAUGAGCCUCCCAUCUGCUUGCAUGGCCCUCCAAUAAACCUUUCUCUCUUCCAGACUCUA
ensembl:lncRNA